UUUCCGUAGGUGAACCUGCGGAAGGAUCAUUACAGAGUUCUUGCCCUCUGGGUAGACCUCCCACCCUUGUGUAUUUUACCUUUGUUGCUUUGGCGGGCCGCGCCAGCCACUGGCUUCGGCUAGUGAGUGCCCGCCAGAGGACCCAAAACUCUGAAUUUAAUUGUAUUGUCUGAGUACUAUAAAAUAGUUAAAACUUUCAACAACGGAUCUCUUGGUUCUG
rnacentral:misc_RNA from 1 species